GACGAACGCUGGCGGCGUGCUUAACACAUGCAAGUCGAACGGAAAGGCCCUGCUUUUGUGGGGUUCUCGAGUGGCGAACGGGUGAGUAACACGUGAGUAACCUGCCCUUGACUUUUGGAUAACUUCAGGUAACUGGGGCUAAUACCGGAUAGGAGCUCCUGCUGCAUGGUGGGGGUUGGAAAGUUUCCGCGGUUGGGGAUGGACUUGCGGCUUAUCAGCUUGUUGGUGGGGUAGUGGCUUACCAAGUCUUUGACGGGUAGCCGGCCUGAGAGGGUGGACGGCGACAUUGGGACUAAGGUAUGGCGCAGACGCGUACGGUAGGCAGCAGUGGGGAAUAUUGCACAAUAAGCGGACGCCUGUUGCAAAAACGCCGCGUUCGUGAUGCCGGCUUUCUGGUUGAGAACCGCUUUCGCCUGUAACGUACCCUGAGUGACGGUAAUGGGUAAAAAAGCCCCGGCUAACUACGUG
rnacentral:rRNA from 1 species